rnacentral:rRNA from 1 species
GGCGGUUUGUUAAGUCAGAUGUGAAAUCCCCGGGCUCAACCUGGGAACUGCAUCUGAUACUGGCAAGCUUGAGUCUCGUAGAGGGGGGUAGAAUUCCAGGUGUAGCGGUGAAAUGCGUAGAGAUCUGGAGGAAUACCGGUGGCGAAGGCGGCCCCCUGGACGAAGACUGACGCUCAGGUGCGAAAGCGUGGGGAGCAAACAGGAUUAGAUACCCUGGUAGUCCACGCCGUAAACGAUGUCGACUUGGAGGUUGUGCCCUUGAGGCGUGGCUUCCGGAGCUAACGCGUUAAGUCGACCGCCUGGGGAGUACGGCCGCAAGGUUAAAACUCAAAUGAAUUGACGGGGGCCCGCACAAGCGGUGGAGCAUGUGGUUUAAUUCGAUGCAACGCGAAGAACC